rnacentral:ncRNA from 2 species
AAUAGUAUCAUUAUAGCUGGUGAUAUUUAGCUGCCUAGAUGGCUAAAUUCUGAAAAGGGAAUCUGGUGUAAAUCCAGAACUGACGCGCAGCGGUAAGGGAGAACGAACGCUCAUCAAGACACUGCCUAAUGGUGGGAAGUCGAGUUAUUAGGUUAACGCUCUCGAGUCCGAAUACCUGCCAGCAACUGGGUCAGCAG